rnacentral:lncRNA from 1 species
UCGGGUUUCUAAAAGCUAUUUCAACCCCCCUCCCAGUUACUGCCACCCUCUCCCAGGUCUAGAGAGGGGUACCCACGGUGGAGGGAGGUGGGAGGCCGAGACGGCCCCGGGGGUCGGCGGAGACCCAGCGGGAGCAGGGGGAAAUCGGAAGAGCUGGGGGCAUGGAGCGGGCGAGUUUGGAGCGGAAUGAGCCGGGAGCCCUACGUUGUGGAAGGAAGACAACAGUAUAGGACCAUCAGCAGGACCGGACAGAGAGGGGCACGUAAGCAGUAAUUACUGGAUGGCAUAGUAAUUCUACUAAAAAUUAAAAUGCCACUUAUUGGAAUGGUGUGUGAACACUCUAAAGCAACCCGGGAAGAAGACAGCAGUCAAGAAGACCAAGGAAGGAAAUGGAGGAGGGAUGACCCCACCAUUACAGGCAGGGAAGGACUGACCAAAGAGACAGAAAUGUAGUCUAGGAAAUGUGUCAUCUUAGAAAGGAACGGGAAGGGGCUGGAGAGGUGGCUCAGAAGUAAAGAGCAGUGGAUGCUCUUUCAGGGGACCUGAGUUGGCCUCCUAAUGUCUUCAGGUACCUCCUAACUGCAUGUAACUCCAGCUCCGGGAGAUUCUGGAUUCUUCUGGUCUCCACGGCACUGCGUUCACGCGCACGCGCGCGCGCACACACACACACACACACACACACACACAAAUUAAUCUUAGAAAAGCAUAGGAAGCCUGAUUUUUUGUUUGUUUGUUUGUUUUGGGGUUUUUUUUUUGUUUGUUUUGUUUUGUUUUUGAGACAGGGUUUCUCUGUAUAGCCCUGGCUGUCCUGGAACUUGUAGACCAGGCUGGCCUUGAACUCAGAAAUCCGCCUGCCUCUGACUCCCGAGUGCUGAGAUUAAAGGUGUGCACCACCACACCCGACAAGGAAGCCUGUUUUAAGAAGUGAUUCCAUGGAGGAGUUCUGCGGCGGCUCAGGGCUUGACUAAACAGUGGACCUCAGGGUCCCAUUUCUCUCAGUAGACAAGAGAGGCUAAACCAGGCUGCAGGUGACAGGAAGAAUUGAAUAAACUGAAAGCAAAGGGCAGCCUUCUAAUUACGCUUCGUGGCUAUGUGGACAACCUGGAGAAGUCUGGAAACAAAGAAGCCAGAAGCCCGAAGCCAGCAGUAGAGCUCUGACUGGCUUGUAUGCCUAGAAAGGAAGGGCUCUUCUUUCGCCUCACGGGCACAAAUGGGACCCACGAGCGCCGAUUUCAGACUAUUCUGAUCCCUUCAAAAAGAAAGUUAGGAGUCCAGGCUACUUCACUUUGGUGAUAGUAAUCAAACCCUAAUCACGGUGCAGCCACAAGUCACAGAGACCGAAAUAGCAGACUUAUGACAGACAAGGAUGGAGACAGCUAAGGAACUGGCUAUUAAUCACCAGUCCCUCUGCUCACAGCCCAUUGGACCCGAGGGUGAAGGAUGAGGAGGAUGGAAGAAAAUGGGAGUGGCGCUUGCUGCAAAGGGUCUCGAAGGGUCUCAGCACCUGCGAACUGGCUCCAAUCCAAACUCCACUAUUCAUGGUCAAGUUCACAUAGGGCUUGGGGUUCUAACAAGAUGUGACUAAACUUACGUUUUCUAUCUUAUUGAUUGUUGUUGAUGCACGUCUGGUGGUACAUGCUUGAAGAACACAGACACCCUGAGAAGAAAGACAUAGCUCCCCAGAUUCCAGCACGCACUUCUCUGUGAGCUACCACUGUAGCUGAAGAUACAGGGCUCAGGAGGAACACUUGGCCUUCGCUCUGAACUUCAGGCCCACGUAACCAUCAGCCGACAUGACACUGCAAAGGCACCUUAGCUCUGCUGUCCCAGAUGGCCAAGCCAACCUUAUUCCAGAAGCUACUUCUCCUGAUGUAAGAACCAGACACAAAGGACAACCUCUGCCUCACCCUCCUUCACACAACACUGAGUCUGUCAUCUUUGAAGCAUUUCUCAAGCCAUGUUUAUUCCCCUGGCCUACGUGGAACACAGCCAGGGUACGGAACACAACCUCAGCACCGGUCUGCUUUCCUCUCCCCAUUUCUGGUCUUUCUCAGAUGCCCAGAGCUCCUCUGUCCCAAUGACUGCUUAUCAAAGAUCUCACUGUGUCCCCACCCAAGGGGUCUUUGGCCACCCUGUGAAGUCCUAGUGGCCUGGAGUUUGCCCCCUUUCCCAGACACCUUAGGGUUCCUGCUGCAGCUCCAGAACUGGGGGAGCAGGGUUGGGGGUGAGUGUGUGUGUGUGUGUGUGUGUGUGUGUGUGUGUGUGUGUUGACUCACCCUGCAGUAUUCUCUCCAUCUGCACAGGUCCCCAGUCUCUGAGACUGAAUCACCCCUCUUUCACUAUGCCUCUGCACAGCUGCCCUUGUGCUCCCUCUCCUUGCCCCGCCUCUUUUUAAGACAGUAUUAUGCAGCCCUGGCUGUCCUGGAACUUAUGUAAACCAGCCUGGCCUUGAACUUGCAGAGAUCCACCUGCCUUUGCCUCUGCCCCUGCCCCUGCCCCUGCCGCCCCUGCCCCUGCCUUUCUGCCUCUGCCUCUGCCUCUCUGCCUUUCUGCCUCUGCCUCUCUGCCUCUGCCUCUCUGCCUCUGCCUCUCAAGUGUCAGGGAUUAAUGCCUGCCACCUCCCCAGUCCCACCCCUCUCCAUCUACCAUGUGGGUUCCACGGGGCAAACCCAAGUCAUCAGGCUUGUUGGCCAGUGCCUUUAUCCACUGAGCCAAGCCGCUUGGUGUGUCUUUGAUGGUGAUUAUUUACAGGAGCUAUUCAGCAAGGUUAAAUGCUGGCAACCCAAUGAGGGGGUCUCUUGAUCCAAAACUGAGAAGUUGAGGCACUAUUUCAGAAUGACCAAAGACAGUAGAAGAAUCUAGAUAUGUCGAUGAUGAGAACAAUGAUAACUCCAAAAGCUGAGGGAAAUUAACUCAAAAUCUUCCAGCUUCCUUUUCCUUACCUAGUUUGGCGGACUCCAACUCUUGGGAUAGCUUUUUUUCUGGCCCCAAACUCACCUGAUUCGUCUGUCCACUGCCACACUGAAGAAUGAACAGCUGUCUCAGAGAGCUUGGCUCCAGAGCUCUGCAAAAAGAGGACACCUUGCCUUGAGCUGUGUUUCCAGAAUGUAUUGCAGCCCCCAGAGUCAUGUACUGUGACCAGGUGAGGACAUGCAUCUUCUGUUCUCCUGCACCCAGGGCCCCAGCAACCAAGGAUCUGGGGACAUGGCGGGUGUUUGGCAGGUUCGCACUCUGAAAAUAUUUGAUGAGACUCAGUAUAUGCUAAAUAAACACUGGAUCAAGUUCUUGGUCUCUCCUUUGGGGAAUUUACAGUCUAUCCUACAGAGAAGAUUGAAA